AUGUUCGUCCGUUUAUUAAAUAACAAACAUAACGAACGAACAUAAACAAAUUUAAAUAAAGGAACUAAAUGAAUGACAAAAUGGGUUCAUGUUUGUUCGUUUAUUAAAUAAAUGAACAUAUACGAUUUUCCAGCCGAACAAUGAAACCGUGAUUACUAGGGCUAUUCUCAGCAUGCUCAUCACAAGAACCAGCAUCAUCCGUGAUCCCACUUGAACCAGAAGAAACCUGUGUGAAAUUGAGCAUACCUUCAUAAUCUAUUUGUAUACGUUGGUUGGAGGGUAUGAGAAGAAGCUGAAAUCACAGGUUUAACAGUUUUGAUCGUCAUUCACUUGAAGAAACAUAACAAAUUGAAUGAGCAUCUACCAAAUCUGAAGAUUCCUGAUCUUCGUCAUUCAAGGGUUGUGAAAAAUUAGACGAGAUUCAUCCGUUAGUUGGAUAUCAUGAGAGGCUUGUUUUGGUGAAGAUGAAAG